GAUCAUGUGUUUUCAAUUUGUAUUAAAGAAUGUAAGCCCUAUGAAUUAUUGUUUACUCCAAAGGGUUGUAAUUAUUAGAAGAAGAUUAAUAAUUACAAUCAUAUUAUUGCUGUGUUGUUUAUUCUGUACCGGUCACCCUGAGAGCAAAAGGUUCCAGGGUUACAUCUGGUUAAUAAGCAGACACAGGAACAAGGUUUUGUUUCAGGUCUCCCCACAUAACUCACCCUAACCCACACCACACAGGACUCAAGGUCAUGAAGCAUCACUGAUAAGAGACCUCAUCCUGUUUUGUGUAACCACUUGUUUCAAUAAAAGGACUGUCGGGGGAGAACUGAGCCAGAGUGUUUUGGAGACGUGUGAAGGCACAGCUCAACUCUCUCCUUGCAGCAAGUAAAACUACGAGCUCGAGUCUGUCAUCUGUGGUCAUUGGAGUUGGUCUGGUAAUUGAACGAGCGGGGCUUUAUCUUUAAGGUGAAAACCCCACAUUAAUUGGUCCUUCGAGCCGGAUCCCAACACAUCGUCAACGGAAAAAAGGGAGGGGAAGACACGCCGAAGUCUGUCGACAGCCAGGGUCUUAGCUGAUCCUGUCAAAGUCCCGGGACGUGAAUUCGUGGCCGGGCCGGUGUCUUUAUUGUCCAACCUCCUUCUUUCCUGAGACGAUUGACGGGAUCCAGAUCCAACCAGUGACCUCAGAUAACAGGUAAGGAAAGGUUUCUCCACCUAAAGGAGGUAAAGGUUUCUCCACCUAAAGGAGGUAAAGGUUUCUCCACCUAAAGGAGGUAGUGGUUUCUCCACCCAAAGGAGGUAAAGGUUUCUCCACCUAAAGGAGGUAAAGGUUUCUCCACCUAAAG